rnacentral:rRNA from 1 species
AACGAACGCUGGCGGCAUGCCUAACACAUGCAAGUCGGACGAGGCCCUUCGGGGUUUAGUGGCGCACGGGUGCGUAACGCGUGGGAAUCUGCCCUUUGGUUCGGAAUAACAGCUGGAAACGGCUGCUAAUACCGGAUGAUGACGAGAGUCCAAAGAUUUAUCGCCAGAGGAUGAGCCCGCGUUGGAUUAGGUAGUUGGUGGGGUAAAGGCCUACCAAGCCGACGAUCCAUAGCUGGUCUGAGAGGAUGAUCAGCCACACUGGGACUGAGACACGGCCCAGACUCCUACGGGAGGCAGCAGUGGGGAAUAUUGGACAAUGGGCGCAAGCCUGAUCCAGCAAUGCCGCGUGAGUGAUGAAGGCCCUAGGGUUGUAAAGCUCUUUUACCCGGGAAGAUAAUGACGGUACCGGGAGAAUAAGCCCCGGCUAACUCCGUG